GCCGGGGUGCGCGAGGAGCGCAAGCUGAAACUGAAGCUUGUCGUGACGAAAGCGGUUUCCAGUGGGGGUUCAAGUCCUCCCCGCGGCAC
rnacentral:tRNA from 1 species